GAAUUAUUAACUGGAAUACCAAUGAUUUACUGGUCAAUGUCAGCCAGCGGUCACUUGUACACCCAAGUGGAUGACAUUGGUAACGAUUGUAUUAGAAAGGUCUCCUCCAUAGUCCAACAUUGGAUGACAGCGGAAUGGAUCUGCAGAGCUUACAAGUCACAGUGGUUUUGAAUUCCAGGUUUAGCUCUGAUAUCUGAACAUUUCAUUGCAAAGUUUAUAAUCAGCACUUACAUAAAUACUUAAGCUAAUUAAACAUCCUCUUUUAACCAUUUGUAUCAGGACUGGGUAAUAUGUAAAUCUAUCUUGGCACUUUUCAAAAUAAAUAGAAAUAAAGAAUUCCGGACCAUUAGAAGCAGAGAUCAUUCCAAGCUUUUAAAUAAGAUCCUAAUCAUGGAUCCCUAGUGUCAUUUUUCAUUUACUUUAUUGAUUUUAGAAGGGUCAAUAGAGAAGAUGUAGGUGGAGAAAUAGUGUAGUCAAAAAGGUUUGAAAAUGUUUUGCCAUAUUUUAGCUCAACUUUUUAUUGCAAACAUACUUGUGAACAUAGCGAUAAUUGUGUUAUCUAUGAACUGUUUAUGUUAAGAGCUAACAAAAUGCUGCCUAUUCACAUUUUUAGAAAUGUGAAUUAUACCCAAUCAUUAAAAGCAUGGAAAGCACAACACUAUCUGCCCUUAAACACAGAUAUGAUUUACAUCAUUUUAUGUAGAUAAGGAUAUGAUUCCUCUGCACGUGUAUCUGGAUUGUAUCUGCAUUCUUCCAAUUCGGCUUUGGUACACACACUUUAAUGAUCAACUACUUAAAGUGUGUAGGGGGGAAAGGCGGCCUUUCAUUAUCCACAGCAUUUUCUUUAAAAAUAUAUAUAUUGCAAAUCAUGUAGCCUGAUUUAAUAAGGAAAACUAAAAACCUAGUCAAAUUAAAUGAAUAGUUUAUAUUUUAAAUGUAUACCUGACAUAUUCUUUAUUUACCUUGAAAGCACCAGCAUAUAAUUCUAGGCAUAACUGCAUUUGACUCUUUUCAUUUACCACUAAAUUUGUACAAAACCUUCCAUUCAAUUUCCAAAUGUGUUAACACUGAUUCUGCCAGAAUUUAAGGAUUAGUGGCAAUAUAACAAAGUAUAUAAUUGACAAAUAAUAUCAAUUAAACAUUAUCAUUAUG